GGUGAAGAACGUAGCGAAAUGCGAUAAGUAGUGUGAAUUGCAGAAUUCAGUGAAUCAUCGAAUCUUUGAACGCACAUUGCGCCCCUUGGUAUCCCGAGGGGCAUGCCUGUUCGAGCGUCAUUUCACCACUCAAGCCUGGCUUGGUGUUGGGCGACGUCCUCUUUGGGGACGCGCCUCGAAACGCUCGGCGGCGUGGCACCGGCUUUAAGCGUAGCAGAAUCUUUCGCUUUGGAAGUCGGGGCCCCGUCUGCCGGAAGACCUGCUCGCAAGGUUGACCUCGGAUCAGGCAGGGAUACCCGCUGAACUUAAGCAUAUCAAUAAGCGGAGGA
rnacentral:misc_RNA from 1 species